rnacentral:rRNA from 1 species
AUUGAACGCUGGCGGCAGGCCUAACACAUGCAAGUCGAGCGGAUGAAGGGAGCUUGCUCCUGGAUUCAGCGGCGGACGGGUGAGUAAUGCCUAGGAAUCUGCCUGGUAGUGGGGGAUAACGUCCGGAAACGGGCGCUAAUACCGCAUACGUCCUGAGGGAGAAAGUGGGGGAUCUUCGGACCUCACGCUAUCAGAUGAGCCUAGGUCGGAUUAGCUAGUUGGUGGGGUAAAGGCCUACCAAGGCGACGAUCCGUAACUGGUCUGAGAGGAUGAUCAGUCACACUGGAACUGAGCCACGGUCCAGACUCCUACGGGAGGCAGCAGUGGGCAAUAUUGGACAAUGGGCGGAAGCCUGAUCCAGCCGUGCCGCGUGUGUGAAGGAGGUCUUCGGAUUGUAAAGCACUUUAAGUUGGGAGGAAGGGCAGUAAGUUAAUACCUUGCUGUUUUGACGUUACCAACAGAAUAAGCACCGGCUAACUUCGUG